rnacentral:rRNA from 1 species
GAGGAAGUAAAAGUCGUAACAAGGUUUCCGUAGGUGAACCUGCGGAAGGAUCAUUAUCGAGUUUUAUUUGAACGGGUUGUAGCUGGCCUUUUAAUCGAGGCAUGUGCACGCUCGGCUCAAUUCCACUCUUAACCACUGUGCACUUUUUGUAAGAUCGGUUGAAGGACUUUGUGUAAUAAUGAAGUCUGGAAGCCUUUCUUAUGUUUACUACAAACGCUUCAGUUAUAGAAUGUCUAUUUGUGUAUAACACAUUUAUAUACAACUUUCAGCAACGGAUCUCUUGGCUCUCGCAUCGAUGAAGAACGCAGCGAAAUGCGAUAAGUAAUGUGAAUUGCAGAAUUCAGUGAAUCAUCGAAUCUUUGAACGCACCUUGCGCUCCUUGGUAUUCCGAGGAGCAUGCCUGUUUGAGUGUCAUGGAAUUCUCAACCCUUAGGAUUUAUUUUCUAAUGGGCUUGGACUUGGAGGCUUGUGUCGGCUGCUUUGUUCAGUCGACUCCUCUUAAAUGCAUUAGCGUGAAUUCUUACGGAUCGCCUUCAGUGUGAUAAUUAUCUGCGCUGUGGUGUUGAAGUAUUUUUUAUAUUCGUGCUUAUAAUCGUCUCCUUACCGAGACAAUUAUCAUUAUGACAUCUGACCUCAAAUCAGGUAGGACUACCCGCUGAACUUAAGCAUAUC